UGCUCGGCCGGGCCGCGAAGGGAAGCCGCUUCUCCUCCGCCACCAGCGCUGCUGCCACCGACCUGUGCCGCCGCCGGGCGGGGAAGGGGCGGCGUGGGGAUGGCGGUGUCAGCGCGGAGGAGCCGGCGGCUGCUGAGGUACUAAAGUCAAGUGCGGACAGUAACAUCUCCUUGGUUUAGCCAGUUUGAGAUUGAGAAUGGCAGGUUUCUCUUCCUUUGGAUGAUGCUUCAUGCUGAAAAUGCAGUAAGGCUCUGGGAGUGUCAGGAUGAAAUCGGAAUUGAGCCGUAUUCUAAAAGAAUGAAGUCAACAGAAGGGGCUUGUGAGAAACUCCCUGAUGAUGGUAACAGAGGUACUCAGAAGAAAGCAGAUGUUGAGAGAAAAUCAAAUGGUUGGAUACCUACAUGUGCCUUAGAUAACCAAGGGCAACGUGAAAUGCAGAAGCAAGAGAAAAUACCUACUGGUGUCUUGGGAUCCUUGAAUGAAGUUCUCCCUGAAAAUAAUCCAGUGCUUAGUCAGCCAAUUGAUUUAGAAACUGUGCAGAAAAUAAAUCCUCCAUUUACAUCAAUGAAUUACUCUAAAGUUGAAGAAGAGAAGGACCCUUUUAUUACAAAUAAUGUUGAUGAAGAUAAUACUGAAAAAAGCAGUGCAUCAUUCUCAGUAAAUAGAAAUCAAUCAGAUGAAGACUUCUUUACAAGCAAAGAUUUUAUAGGACCUAUUUACAAGCCUGCCAAAAGUAACCAGCAGGACAAAUCUGGCAAUUGCAAUGAAUGUAGGAACAUUGGAGGAGAUGAGAACGAAUUAUAUGAAAACAGAUGUAAAAGAAAGGAGGCGAAGAAGAUGCAGGCUGUUUCUGCCACUGUACCAGAAAUAGAUGAUCAGCUGGAUCAGUUCUAUAAAGAAAUUCACCAGCUGGAAAAUGAAAAUUUAGAUACUGAUGUUCAGGAAAAAGAAACUGUAAUUUCUGAAGAACAACACGCUCCGUUUAACUCUAGUCGGAGCUCACAAGAAAAUUAUCAACCUGUACUUUUGGGCAGUCCACACCCAUUUUAUGAGAAUGGACAGUGUUCUUUGGGGGAACAGAACAGUCACAAAACAAACAAUGAGCAGCAGUUAGUUGAGGAAACAUGUGCCUGGAAAAGUGAAAAUACCUUUAAUGGCCAAAUAGAUACUUGGAACUGCUCAGUGCCUGAAUUCAGACCUGCUUGGCUGACUAGAGCAUCUUUCAAAAAACCUCAGGGACCUUUUCCUCCUAGAUUCAACCAUCAAUCCCAUUUUCAGGUAUUUGAUCCCCCACCACAAAUCCCAAAUGUUCCCCCUUCUCAGAAUGGGGGACUUCCUUAUGAAAGUUACCAUGGAAAUACUGCUAUCAACAGUCAUGGUCCAUUGCUUGGUCAAAAUACCCACUAUUCUGGUCAUACUGACAUCCAUGUGACUCAAGUCUUCAGGAAUGAGAAUAACGAUCAGAAUGGACUCCACAAUAAUGGUUUCUGUGAAACCAGAGAAGAGUGUUGGAAUGAUCCAAAAGCUGACAGUACAGAAGGAAUGCACAACUUUUCUUCAUUGCAGUUAUCUGAAGAAAAAUUCAAUUGUUCACAGAAAUUGCUUCUAAUCUUAAGAGGCCUGCCAGGUUCAGGGAAAUCCACACUUUCUCGUGUUCUCCUUGGUCAGAGUUGUGAUGGCAUUGUGCUCAGCACUGAUGAUUAUUUUCGUCAGCAGUAUGGAUACACCUAUAAUGCUGCUCAGCUUGGGGAUGCCCAUGAGUGGAACCGGAAGAGAGCAAAGCAAGCAAUGGAGCAGGGAAAAUCUCCAGUUAUAAUAGACAACACUAAUACUCAAGCCUGGGAAAUGAAGCCUUAUGUGGAAGUGGCUCUAGAAAAAGGAUAUAGAGUGGAAUUCCAUGAGCCAGAUACUUGGUGGAAGUUUGAUCCUGAAGAACUAGAAAAGAGGAAUAAGCAUGGAGUCACUCGUGAGAAGAUUGCUCAGAUGUUGGAACGAUAUGAAUAUCAUAUAUCCAUCCCUAUUGUCAUGAAUUCAGUGGUACCUCCCCACAAAAACACUCAAAGACUACCUCUGCAGAGAAGACAUAGGGAGACAAUUUUAAGCAAGAACCCUGGAUACCUGUUAAUAAAAGCAAAGCAGAAGAAAAAGAGAAAAAGAAACAAAACUAUGAAAAGUAAUCGCACAGAAAUUACGAAAAAAAUGUUACAUGGAGUAGCUCAUCAUCCAAUUCCAGGGGACCAUGAUGGAUCAGAAAGUGAAGAGGAUGACUUGGAAGAAGAAAACAAAAAAUCAAUGUGUACAUUCAGCAAAGGCCUGGAGGAUCCAGUAACAGUUUGUGAAGAACAGCCUAAGAGUAAUGAUGAAAGCCUAAAAGAAUCUGCAGGGGUUUCAAGAGAGAGUUUUCUGGUCACUGUGCCUGAGGUCUCAGUGAUGUCAAAUAGUGCGUGGAAAAAUGAAUUGCCUGUAGAAGGUGACAGUUUGCUUUUAAGAGAUGUAAAACCGUUUUGUACAGAAAACCUAACCAAAAAUGCAUUAGAUGACAAGGAAGCAAAGCAAAGGCACAAAGACAAUCCUUGCAGUUUCCUAACGAUAAGCAAUGAUAAAAAUUCCAUCCAGGGAACAGAAGGCAUUUCUGAAGACUAUGAUAUGUCACUGUUAAGCACAGAAAACAAACUGGGAUCAUGCCAAAUUACAUGUGAACCUGACUUGGAAACCAAGCUGGUAUGUUUAAACAGUGAAGAAAAUGAAAUCUGUCAGAAUUGCAGUUCAAAUGUACUUGAUAAUGUGCCUGAUAACACAGAAGGCAAAUGUCCAUUAAAAGCAGAUGGAACUAGCUCCAAUGCCUGGGCUUUUUUUUCAAUUAAGUUAUCUGCUGACGAGUUGCAGAUGGCCUUCAAUACUCAAGUUUCUCUCUCUCCCUGCUCUGAGGAUAAAUGUGUAAGUGAACAAAGAUCUCAAAAAGUGAGGAAACCUGAACAGAUCCACACGAACAGUUCAGCAGAGCUAAACUGCAAUCAGUCAAAUGAGGGAUUGGUAAAGGAAAACCAUAAUGAAACAGAAACUGAGGAAGCUGGCAAUGUAAUAAGCAAUGGUCUGUCUGCAUCUCCAACUGGUAAAGUGCACUUUGAUUCCCUAGUGGAAGCCAGGGCUGCCUUCAUGCAGGGUUCGAGUGAAGUUAAUGUGCCAAUAAAUGAUGCUACACCAGCUACACUGAAGAGGAAGAGAUACAGGAGAAUUGUCAACUUAGCACCAAAGUUUAACCUACCAAGACAGAUCUUUGCUCAUACAGAGGAAGGAAAGGACAUCCUGGUAAGAGAAGAUAUUCCACAAAACAGUGUUUUAGAAGUGAGGCAAAAAUACUUUCUAAGCAAGGACUGUGGAGAAGCACAUGAACAGGACCAUGCAUUGCAGGAAUAUUCCUCACCCACUCCAGAUGCAGAUGCUCUGUUAUGUAAUAUUUCUUACAUUCAUUCCAGACAAUGUUCUCCUAUAUCAAAAUUCGCCUGCAGGGUUUGUGUAGAUUCCAAAACAAAGGAGGAGCAAGCUACAGCUCUUCAGCCACAACAGGUAGUUAAUAAAAAAGAGGACAAGGGUGAACAUGUUUCUUCAGAGGUUACAAAUGGCCAACCAGAUAAUGUGUCUUCUGUUAAAGUUGUUUCUGAAUAUCUAGAAGAUUCUACUACAAUGGCAAGCUGCAGUGAAAAUGCAAAUGGAGCAGAUGACUCUGAGCCAGCAAAGGCAUUACAGCUUGAAGAUUAUCAAGAUGCAGAUGUGAAAUGCAGUUUUCUGGGACUUCCCUUAUCAUUAGGAUUUGCUUUUCAACUUGUGCAGCUCUUUGGUUCUCCAGGUCUUCCACUGGAAUCCUUGUUGCCAGAUGAUUAUAUAGUUCCCCUUGACUGGAAAGUUUCAAAGAUGAUCUAUUUACUGUGGAAGACCUCUGUGGAGGAAAAACAGAAACCAAACAGAUUGCAGAAUGAAGAUGGCUUGAUGGAUGAUAUUAUUAAUCUCAAAGACCUAAAUAAAAAUUCCCAAGAGAAUAAAGACUUAUCUGAAACACUAUCAGACAUGAAGCUAUGUCAAGAUGUGACAGAGGAGAACAUCAUAACCUGCACUGGCUGUCUGGAUGCUGCAUUUCAUCAGUCAUGAGUGACUGUCUUAAAUUCUGCAUGAACAAACAGCAUGGAGAGUAAUGCUGGCUCCAUUAAGGGUCUAAUUAUGAAAAGAACUCUAUGAAUAAUAAAACAGUAUUUCACCAAAUUAUGAAGAAGUGGCAGUUCUGCUUUUCAGUGGAGAAACAGUAGCAAGAGAAACUUCUCGCUUUAAUUCCGCCAUGGAAGGACUUCAGUUGGCCACCAAGGAUUUCAAAUGUGAGGGAUAACCUGGAAGAAAGAAACAACAGUAGAUUUUUUUGGUAUACAUCUUUGGCCACCUCCCCCCAACACUGCUCCGCAGUAUCAACCUCUCUGACCACGUAAUAAUGACCAAAGUUGCAAUAACUUUGUGUAAGGCAAAACAUCAUUUUCUGAAGCCAUUUGGGAUUUACACUUUGUCAGUACAUCCUCAAGCGAGGUAUAAAGAGAUUGAGAGUGGAGACCCAGAGGCAUCUGUCACUGUGGGGUGUGAGCUUCAGGCUGUGGUAUUUCAUUCACUUGUAUCAGGAUCCAGGAUAUUGCCACAGAAGCAGGCAGUGGUGCUCACAUGCAGAGAAUGGUGCUUGUUACGUGUCUUAGCUGCCUCCUUCUGCCUUCACCCUCAGUCAUAAUUGCACCCAGUCUCUUUACAACCUCCGAUGGUAAACGUCUUCAUCUGAUGUUCCUAGUCACUCAAACAGUGGUGCACAACUUCCAUUCUUUUCUCCUGAGACCAAGCCUUAGGCUUUUCCUCAGCUAGACUCAUUUGGGAAUUUGGGAUUACAGAAACAAGAGUAUUUCACUAUGGAACUGAUUCAACCAUGCUGAAAGAAGGGUGUGUAUGGUUUGUAGUAGACUGAGAAGAUAUAUAACGAGCACUGGUAACCAGUGAUUUGAUGUUUGUUAGUGGUGUUGGAAAUAUUUCUGUCUGUAGAGAUAAACAAAUCAUAAUUAAUUUUAAAGAGCAACCUCUGCCAAUUAUGAGGCAUGCAUAAGGCUGGACACUUCCUUGUAGGGAGAGGGAGUGACAGCUGUCACCUCAUUUAACAAUGAAAGUGUGAGAAAAGAUUAAGGAGAAGCAGGAAACUUGGUUGUGUCUACUUGUCAGAAAUAAUACUUCCCACUUGUGCAGUUUGCAGAUCCAGAAUAUUUCUCCAUUUAUUCUUUGAUCUCCUCUUCCUCACCUUUCCCUGCAUUUGUUUAUACAUCAGCUGAAGAGCCAGGAGGGGACUGAACUCAGGCUGAAGCCCCACCAUGGUCAAAUUUGCCGAUGUGUCUCCACUUUCUACUUAAAUACUGAUUCUACAUGAACAAUGUAACAGUUAACAGUGUAUGCAUUUCUAAUUUAAUGUUGUACCACUGGCAAAAUUUCCUGGCUGCACUGUUUGAAUGCAUCUCCCAUGGACAUGUGUGUGUCUUCCUCGGCUGAAAAUGUCCUGUUCUCCUACCAGCAGAACAUUAUAUGAAAAUGUAAAGGGGAGGAGGAAUGGAGUUCAUACUCACCAUAACCACAGCUUCAGACUUCUGUGUUCUACUACUAGUGGCAGCAGACAGGUUAGUUUGAUUUCGGGAAAAUGUCACUCAAGGAUUAAUACUGUCUUCCUACUUCUGUUUAUUGAGUGAGAAAUCUGAAUGGCUCUAUUUUCUGUUACUGAAUCCUGGCCUUCCAUAAUGCUUGAAAUAAAAAUAAUUUUCAAAAUCUCACCGUACUCUUGUAUGGGCAAGUCAUGUUUCAUCUCUUAGUAGAGUGUUGCCAGUUUAAGUUUACUUUAACCCCUCUCCCCAGUAUCUAGGAAUUUCCAAUUUUCUGUGUCUUUUUUUCCUGCCACAUUUUCCCCACUU